GUCACGUGCCGCCGGGGCUGUUCCGUCGCUCAGGGCUGCGGCUCGCCGGAGCGCCGCUGGCCCCACCAUGAUCAAAGCCAUCCUCAUCUUCAACAACCACGGCAAGCCGCGGCUCUCCAAGUUCUACCAGCGCUACAGUGAAGAUACACAGCAACAAAUUAUCAGAGAAACCUUCCACUUGGUAUCCAAACGUGAUGAAAAUGUCUGUAAUUUUCUAGAAGGAGGCUUAUUAAUAGGUGGAUCUGAUAACAAACUGAUUUACCGACACUAUGCCACCUUGUAUUUUGUGUUUUGCGUGGAUUCUUCAGAAAGCGAGCUUGGCAUUUUAGACCUGAUACAAGUCUUUGUGGAAACACUAGACAAAUGUUUCGAAAAUGUCUGCGAGCUGGAUUUAAUUUUCCAUGUAGACAAGGUCCAUAAUAUAUUGGCUGAAAUGGUUAUGGGUGGAAUGGUUCUGGAGACCAACAUGAAUGAAAUUGUCACUCAGAUUGAUGCUCAGAAUAAACUGGAAAAAUCUGAGGCUGGUUUAGCAGGAGCUCCAGCCCGGGCUGUUUCAGCUGUAAAGAAUAUGAAUCUGCCAGAGAUCCCAAGAAAUAUUAAUAUUGGUGACAUCAGUAUAAAAGUGCCAAACCUGCCCACUUUUAAAUAACAUGGCUACUCCAGGUAGCAGCUUCUGACUCCAAACAGUGAAAUUCUUAGAGAACUAGCCUCAGUCAAAGCUUUCCCUCCACCAAGGAAAAGUCCCUGCCUGGAAGAGAGGCAAGUUCACUCGUUCACUCUGCUGCAAAUAAAUGUGCAGAGACUGGAGGCUUUGCCUUAACACAAAGACUUGCAGAUCUUCUACCUGCUUACCAGGGUUGGCUUCUGGAGCUUAUGAACAUAAAACAUACUGAAGAAGAUUUAAAUCAAGAAAAAAGAAUGGUUGGAGUAUAUUCCCACUGCCUGAAUUUCAAUGCCCAGCUUUUACUCCAGUAGAUUUUGAGAGCUAAGUAUAGGAUGAAGGCAUCUUCAUCCAGGUCACUGAUGAAGAUGUUGAACAAGAUCAGACCCAGCACUGACUCCUGGGGUAUACCACUAGUACAGGCCUCCAGUUGGACUCUGUGCCACUGAUCUCAACUCUGAGCUCUGCCAGUCAGCCAGUUCUCAACCCACCUCACCAUCCACUCAUCUGCUUGUACUUAGCUUCAUUGCAAGGAUGCUGUGGUGUCUACCUUGCUGAAGUCAAGGUACACAACAUCCACGGCUCUCUCCCCAUCCACCUGGUCAGUGGUGACAUCAUAGAAGUCUACCAUGUUGGUCAAGCAUAAUUUCCUCCUUGUGAAUCCGUGGUGACUACUCCCAGUAACCUUCUUCACUUCAAUUGCUUGGAGAUGGCAUGACUGUAUUGUUUUGCUGUUUAUUUCAUUACUCUUGUUUAUUUUAUACAAGAGCUGCUUCUUAUUGUCAGAUUUCCUGUUAAGUUCAGGUAAAUUAAUGACUACAACUGUUUGUUGUUGUUUGUUUUUCUUUACUUUUUUUUUUUUUUUUUUUGAGGGUGGAGAUGCAAUGAACUGUUGCAACAUGAACAUUUUUCCAGUUGAAGCCUUAUUUGGAAUAGCAACAAUCUUUAACACCAUUCUGCAUGAGCAAGCGGAUCAGACCAGAUGAUCUCUGAAAGUCUCUGCCAACCUCAACCAUUCUCUGAUUCCACGUUAAAAUGUGCAAUGUAAAUAAGCAAGCAGAUGUUCAGAAUUCCCCCCUUUCUUUUCCUGUUGAAAAUCUACUGUCUUAGUUCUAUGAUUGUUUGGACCCAUUCCUGGAAAUCUUUUUAAGUUAAAAAUUCCGGUAAUGCUGUCUUGCUGCUUGUCAUCCUCAUUCAUUUGCAGCUGGAAACAAAAGUGCCUUGCUGACACUUACAAUACAGAUUAACAGCGACUUUAAAUGCCUGUGAGUUCAGCUGUACAUGUUCACACAAGAUGUUUUUAAUAGAAUGAGUUGGAAGUGACCUUACAUCCAUAACACUGCCAGAGACAACUCUGACAGUCACUAUCUCAGCCUGCCCAGGGUCCCAUCCAAUCUGGCUUUGAUCAAAUACUUCCAGGGACAGGACACCCACAGCCCCUCUGGGCAACCUGCACCAGCGCCUCACCACACUGAGUAAAGAAUUUCUUCCUAAUAUCAAGUCUAAACCUUCUUUUGGUUUAAAGCCACUACCUUUGUCUUAGCACUACAUGCCUCUCCUUCUUUUUUGUAGACCCAUUAGGUACUGGAAGGCUGCAAUGAAGUAUUCCUGCAGCUUUCUCUUCUCCAGGCUUAACGAGCCCAGCUGCCUCAACCUUUCUUCAUAAGAGAGGUGAUUAAGCUGCUGAUCUUUGCGGCUCUCCUCUGGAGCUGCUCCAACAGCUCCAUGUCUUUGUUAUGCUGCAGACGCUAAUGCUGAAUGCAGCACUCCAGGUAUGAUCUCACAAGAGUGGCAUAGAGAAUCAACUCCCUUGACCUGCUAGUUAGGUUUCUUUUCAUGCAGCUCAGGAUACAACUGCCUUUCUGGGCUGCAACUGUUCAUGUUGUUGUCUCAUGUUCAGUUUUUUGUCCACCAGUACCCUCAAACCUACCUCCUCAAGGCUGCUCUCCACCACUCACUGCCCAGCCUGUAUUCAUGUCUGGGAUUGCCCUGCAAUCCAGGUGCAGAGCCUGGUAUUUGACCUUACUGAGCUGCAUUUGGUGCAUUUUGAGAGGGCUCACCUCUCAAGCCUGUCCUUGCCCCAUUGGAUGGCUCCUUUGUCCUUCAAUAUAUUGACUUCACCACUCAGUGUGGUAUUGAUCUCAAACUUGCUGAGGCUGCACUCAGUCCCACAGUACGUCACUGAGAAAGAUAUUGAAGGAACCAGCCUCAAUAAUGACCCUUAAGAAACAGCACCACUGGUCUCCUCAUUGAUACAGAGCUGUUCCCAAUGGUUCGAAUGCAGCAGCUCCACCUACCAUUUCUCUUAGGACCCUUUGUUGUACGUCAUUAAGUCCCACAGAUUUGUGCACAUACAAAUUUCUUAGAUGAUAGUUUUGAAUGUGGUCUUCUCCUACAGCUGACAGUACUUCAUUUUUCCAUUCCAUGCAUUCAGGUGCUGUGAAUUGGGCGCUGGUAGUAGUAAGGGAGCCAGCAUGGCAACGGAGAUGGCAACAACAAUAAACACAGUUAUUGGGCAACAGUCAGCUUGGUCCCAGUUUCACAGGGAUAGACACAAUGUUGAAAUGAAAUCACCAUUCCCCCAUGGUGAAGUCUUUUUUUCUCGCCUAUUAUGAUCACAGCACUUUAUUUUAGGGAUGAGACAGUGAAUUUGGGGAAAUGAGAGAUAAUCCUUGGGAUGCAAUCCAGUCUUUAUUUUUAUUUCAGUUUCUACUGCAUUCUACCCAUGGCAAACAACCACUGAGAUAUUUGAUUGGAUCCAAGAUUGUCAUUUUAUGAUGCAAUAAAAUAUGUUGAUGUAAUUGAAGCAUCUAUUGUGUGAGUAAAGGACAAGAUGAUUAAGUUGUAAAAGUAGCAUGGUGACAGAAAUGUAGCUCAUUUACUUUUAUUUUUCUUUUUUAAAUGCAACAGUUUUGUUAACUAAUCUUUGGAAUCAUGCCCAGUUUGAGAAGGAAAAUUAAUCCAAGUGAGCAUACGCUCAUACAUAGUUGCUCUAUUCAGAAAUAAAAUUCUGUAUAGCUGCUUCUGGUCCAACAAA